rnacentral:rRNA from 1 species
AAUGGGGGGAACCCUGACCGAGCAACGCCGCGUGAGUGAAGAAGGUUUUCGGAUCGUAAAGCUCUGUUGUAAGAGAAGAACGUGUGUGAGAGUGGAAAGUUCACACAGUGACGGUAACUUACCAGAAAGGGACGGCUAACUACGUGCCAGCAGCCGCGGUAAUACGUAGGUCCCGAGCGUUGUCCGGAUUUAUUGGGCGUAAAGCGAGCGCAGGCGGUUUGAUAAGUCUGAAGUAAAAGGCUGUGGCUUAACCAUAGUAUGCUUUGGAAACUGUCAAACUUGAGUGCAGAAGGGGAGAGUGGAAUUCCAUGUGUAGCGGUGAAAUGCGUAGAUAUAUGGAGGAACACCGGUGGCGAAAGCGGCUCUCUGGUCUGUAACUGACGCUGAGGCUCGAAAGCGUGGGGAGCAAA